ACGGGAGGCAGCAGUGAGGAAUAUUGGUCAAUGGGCGGAAGCCUGAACCAGCCAAGUCGCGUGAAGGAUGAAGGUAUUAUGUAUUGUAAACUUCUUUAGCUGUGGAGCAAUAAUCGCCAUGCAUGGCGAGAUGAGAGUACACAGAGAAUAAGGAUCGGCUAACUCCGUGCCAGCAGCCGCGGUAAUACGGAGGAUCCGAGCGUUAUCCGGAUUUAUUGGGUUUAAAGGGUGCGCAGGCGGUCGAUUAAGUCAGUGGUCAAAUCGUGAGGCUCAACCUCAUCCCGCCAUUGAUACUGGUUGACUUGAUUUCGGUCGAGGCAGGCGGAAUUCGCCGUGUAGCGGUGAAAUGCAUAGAUAUGGCGAAGAACUCCGAUUGCGUAGGCAGCUUACCAGACCGACAAUGACGCUCAUGCACGAAAGUGCGGGGAUCGAACAGGAUUAGAUACCCUGGUA
rnacentral:rRNA from 1 species